ACAUUUUUUUAAAGAGAAAUGAGAAGAAUGAGGCAUUGACUCGUAAAUUUCACAAUCAAUUAUUUAUAUUUCUGAAGCGCCAUGCAACCCAUUCAUCUUUACCGAAUUAGACUUCUAACUUUUUAGAAUUGUUACGAACUUUGAGUGCAUAAAUUCAGUGGCGUUUGACAUUGUGGACUAGCAUUGCACUUUUUUCUUUUUAUAUUGGGUUAUUCUUCAGUAAAUUAGUGUAUUUAUGUACUAUUUAAAACAAAUCAAAUAAUAACAAAAUUUAUUUGAUGGAAAAAUUAUGACAUCUAGAAUAGGUCAUUUGAUUUCACUGAAUUUGAAUGACGUGGACUUUUUUAUCGAAAAAUGUGGAAUUUAGAGAAAUACUAGUUCUGGGCAGUUGUGCCGUUCGUUUCUUUAAUGAAGAAAUACUAAAACAAAAGACAAGCGCGAUGGUGAAUAAUGCUGAAGAACGCAACGUUAUACGAUAUGGAGGAAGCAUGGCCUGACAGCUGGCUUUUGAAGUGUUGCCAUUAUUAUAAAUUAAUUGUGAAACACUCAGAAAAAAUUCAUGUGAUUGAAAGUGGCAAAAUGAUAAAAUUAAAAAUAAAACCUAAAAGUGUUGCAUAAAUUAUCGAAAAAAAUAGGAACAUAUUAUUUAAAUAAAUUAAUUAAGUAUAUAUACCGAGUUUGUGAAUUUCUUCUGGGCAUAAUUUGAAACUUUAAAAAAGUUCUUCAAAUAUUUUCGAACCAUGAAAUGCAGUAAUUAAAAAAAUUAAACCAGAAAAGGCAAAUUUGGCUGUAUAUUCAAAAUUUAGAUCAAGAAAUGUUUAAACUAUACUAAAUAAAAGAACGAAUUUUAAAUCUGUUCUAUUUUAAUAUACUUACAUACAUUCAUCACAAUACCUUGAAGAGUACAAGUAUCUGUGAAUGGAUGCCUAUGUUUUUACGACGGACAUAUAAAUUCAUUUGUACGUGUAUUCAUUUCAUGCAAGUAAGAAUAUGCAAAAUGUUCUAUUUCAAUAGGGGACAAAAUGUAUUGAAAAUAAUAUUUAGCUACAAAGUAAGAUGUUAAGGGAAAAUUUUAUAGAUUUACUCAGUGUGAAAGAUCAUUUCCGAACACUUGAAUAACCGUUGAAUAUAGUCUUAGCCAUGAUAAUCCUCAACACGCAUUGAUGGCCAACUGGGAUAUUUAAAUGAACACAUGUUUAAAUACAUAUAAGUUUACCUAAUAUGCAUUAUGCAAGAUGCUAGGUACACGAAAUAUAAAUAUAGACAUCGUAUGUUUGUAUAGAAUAAUAUAAGUAUACAACUUUGCGAAAUUUUUGGGGAACUUAGAAAGAUAUACUCUCAAAUUGUUAGCAAUGAGGAUGUGGGUCGCAUAUACAAAGCGGCUCAUUUCGCAGCACAAAAUGUUCAUAAGAAAGUCUACAAUAUUGUACGUAAACUUUUUUGAAUACAGAAAAAAAGUUAUAAAUAAUUUUACAUGACAAGGCAAAGAAUGCACACAUUUCGUUACCAUUUAGUAUUUAGUAUUGUUCAAUAGUUGUUGCAAAAUAAACAGACCUAACAUGAAAAAAAAAAAUCUCAGCUGAUUAUAUAUAAACUCGUAUGUAUAACAAAAAUGAACAAAGAUAUGUAUUUAAAACUUUUUAAAUCUAAAAUAUAAAUGUUAUAAUUUUUUAACUCCAAGGUCAUGUAAAUUUAAUUACACAUUUAAAUAUCACAUGUAUGGUAUACAAUAUGUAUGAAAGAAAUUUGAAAACAAUAAAAAAUACGAUUUAUACGAACAAUACGAUGGUAUGAUUUUGUAAAUUUUCGAGAAUUCGCCAUACGUUAGGGGAUAUAUGUGAUCUAUGGUGUGAAAUGCUUCUAACUGAUGAGGAAGUAAUUGUCCAAUAUUUAAAAAAAUUAAGGUACCAACUCGAAGUAAGUUUGUUAAUUCUGAGUGAUGCAUUACAGUCGCCACUUGCCUAUUUUCGUCUCUUUCAACAAACACACGUCUAUGAACGAAAACACAAUGCUCUCUUAUUGCACAUGGUAAGUGAAAAACUUGGUUGCAACGAUUUUUAAAACAGCGUACUGUGGCACCGAGUUGUUGACAUCCGCUACACGAUUGAUUAAGGCCCAUCUGUAAAGCUGCGGGAAAGUUCAUAAGGCCACCGCUUAUAGUCUCAUACACUUCGCUAGACCACAGAGCGCAGUUUAAAUGUACCUAGAAUGAUGGUGAAUUAUAAUAAAUAAAUAUUAUUGUUUGGCUUCUGUUUUA